ACAAUGGAGUUUCUCAACUCCAUCAAUGGACUUAGGAAAAUUAAAU
rfam:Cricetulus griseus cell line CHO-K1, whole genome shotgun sequence.